CGCGCCCGCGUCCCUCCCCCGGGGCCCCGCGACCCCGCUGUGCCGCCCGGGCCGGGGGUGGCGGCCGGGCAGGAGCGGGUCCCGGGCGCCUCCUUCUCUCGUGCCCCCCGGCCUGGAGACCCCCAGGACCAGGACCAGGACCGGGCCCGUGCGGGGGGACGGGGCUGCGGGUCGGGGGAGGGGGCCGCCGUGCUGCUGGGUGGAAGUACACAGGCAGUUUUUAUUGUGCAAGCGGAUAGUUCACGUAACAAGCACACAGGUUACUUACCUUUGGGUACCUUUUAUACAUAUAUUCGCAAGUGUACCGCUCAGUGAUUGGUUACAAACCACUGACAUAAGACGUUCCCUACUGAGCAUGUCUCUAUACCUAUGUUUUAGCCGUGUGUCUCAUUUACAUACAUGUGUGUUUCAUUAACAUACUUUGCUCUGCCCAGGAGUGUCAUUUUUAGCAUUAUAAUGAGACCUUUUUCUGAACUUCUUGCUAUCUUGCAGGUGUCAGGGAGACAUUAUCCUGCUGGUGUCAGGGAGGCGUUCCAGGACUCCCCCACAUCCCACGCUGUGCUCUCAAAUCUUAAUCUCCCCCAGUACAAUCUUAUCUUGUAGAACCUCGCAUCGGGGUCCCUACAGCCGGGGCCGAGGGGUCUUCGGGCCCCCUGCGCUCAGGUCAGGGGGUCUUGGGUCCGUGAUGCUGCCCGCUCCGGUUGCGUCUCGGGGUCCCCCCACGUGCAGUUCUGGGGGUCUCAGGGUCCCCCAAGCUGCCACUUGUUUUUGGGUUUCAGGGUCCCUUGGCUCCUGGCUCUGGGGAGGGCCCCCCAAGGCCCUGCACCCCCCCUCCCCCCCAGACCUGUCGGCAUCUGGGAUCCUGGAGGACCCCCCCCCCGGCCAGCAGAGCCGGCAGAAGGACACGCGCGGGUCUCCGGGCUCUGCGGGCGAGACGCUUUGGGGGAGACCCGUGUGGUGCCCAGAAGCGCUGGUAGCAACACCUUCACGAGCACCACGCGCCCCCGCCCCAUGGAGAGGUGGUGCGUGUGCCACAGGUUCAACCUCUGCUUCCCCUCGGCCUCCUCCCGGGCUCUUCUUCCGCUCAGCUCUGCAUCAACCUCCAGCCCAAGGACCUUGACCCCCUCGCAGGGGACCGAGCCCCCCGGGGACUCCAGGCCCCCGAGCUCACCCGUGGCCAGGCAGGUGCUUUUGCUCACAUUGAGCUUGGCCCCUGCUGCCACUUCGUAGACCUGUGUGUGCCACAGGGAUCUUCCUACUGAACACUUAUUCUGGCACAGGUCGUUCAAGUCAUCCAUGUAGGCCGGGACCCUGGUCUCUUCCUUGCCUCCUCCAGGGAUCUGGACGCCGCGCAAGAGGAACCAGUCCAACGCCAGGAGAUCCAGGGGCAGGAGGUGAUGCAGGCCAUGCAGCUCCCGCCUGAGACCGAGUUUCCCACAAAGACCCCACAGCUGGCAUCGGGGCACGACCUCCCCACCCCAGAGACCCAGCUGGCAUCAAGGCUUCAGGGGCCUUUGCAGCCUGGAAGCUGAGGGGCCGCGGGAGGUUUUCAGCGUCCUGCAAGAGCUCGGCCAGCGCUGGCUGGAGCCGCAGCGCCGCAGCAGGGAGCAGAUGCUGGAGCUGGUGGUGCUGGAGCAGUUCCUGGCCCUCCUGCCCCUGGAGAUGUGGAGCUGGGAGUCAGGGCACGGUGUGGAGACCUGCACCGAGGCCGAGGUCCUGGCUGAGGAGGAAGAUUGAAAAACCCCAGGUGAGAGUGUUCCCACCUCCAUGACCUCGGGCAGCGUUCCCUCCCCGCCCCCUCGCUCCCAGAUCCUGAUGCCGCGGUGACACACUUAUCUUAUUCCUAGAUCACAAUGUGUGUGCAUGUCAAGGAGGGGCACUUCCGCCGGCAGUUCCGGUUUUGGGGUUGGUGCUUCCAGGGGUGCACAGCCAAUCUUGGGGGGUGGAAGUGCACCCCCUAUAUGUUGCCAGUGGGCACAGAACAGGGAGAAGGGGGAAUCAACCCCCUAUUCAUGACAAGCAGGACAAUUCAAGGCAAAGCAAACCUAAAGCUUCUUAUGCUGUCAGGGUGCCCAAGACAUCUAAGGCACUAGGCUCAGAUAAGGUCUUUCCCCUUGUUUAGGGAGUUCUGGUGUCUGUCUGGAAGUGUGGGUCCAAAUCCAUCCCCUGGCACUUGCUUUUGGCUGGCCACUCACACUUCUGCAUGCCAGCCUCCUCCAGCAAGCUUAGCAACACCAGCAGCUUGGCUGCUCGUGCUCUGGUGGCUUGCCCCUUGAGAGCUGUGGCCACACUUCCCCCAGUGCGGCACUGGAAGUGGGUUGGGGCGUCCAGGGCACCCUCCUUUCCCGCUGGAAGCCUCCCCACACUUGUGCUGAAGGUCUCGGUGGCGGGGAGUGCUGCCAGGACAAAUGCCGGAGCCCCGGGCAGUUCCACCACCAGCAAAACCAUGCCGGAGUCCAAGGUGCAGAAGCACUCGGAUCAAGAGGGCAAGAAAGUGGGGGAGACAGAAAGCAAACGCCCAGCUUCGGGGCUCUCUCUCGCAAGACAGCAGCAACUACCUGCCAGAGAUGGCAAGGGAAGCUGAGCCCGGCUGCAAGUGGCAGGGCUCGGCGCCUUGCUGCUCCAUGGGAGACCUGGGGAAUGUGGGUUCGGGCCUGCACCCAGGAUGCUGCCAAAAGACUUUGGAAGUAUCUGAAGCCCCCGGUGAGGAGUGGAAGAGGUUUGCUGGGUGUAGGGCCACUUAUGAGUCUGGACUGACUCAUGGAUUUGGACUCGAUUUGGCUGGGAACAGGAAACUUUUCUUGAGAAAGAAAUCAAAGAAGCUUGAGCCACUUGAUCAGGAGAGGGCAGGAGCAAUCCCCACCCCUGGCUCUGGUCCCCACCCAGGCAGGCUCUCCAGCACCUGACAAUGGGCAUUCGCGGGUGUGGAGACUCCCUGCUCCCUACCUGCCUACCCUAUGCCACCGGCAGGGAUCCAGGUUGUCCCUUUCCUACGAAAAGCGGAGAAAACCACGGAUUCCCUGUUUUCUGGGAGAAAACGCGGAUUUCCCUUUUUCGCAGGGACAUCCGCGGGGUCUCCGCUCCUGCGAAGCGCUCUUGCCGGCGGGCGCCGACUGCACACAGGGCCGAGACCCCAGCCCUGCCCGGGGGGGAGGGGGGAGGCGGGGCCUGAGCCUCCGAGGCGGCCACGGCCGGGCUGGGGCUGCGGCUCCCACUCGCCCUUCGCCCGCGGAGCGUGGAGACACAGCAGAGCAGCACUGAGGAGGAGCCCCAGCACCUGGAGAGCCCUGCCCUCUCCGGCACACCCAGGAGGGACUGUUGGAAAAGACACUCCCAGGGAUACCAGGGGGAAAGCAGAAGGCAGAAGCAGAGGAGACCUCUACCUGCUCUUGUGUUGGGCAGGAUCCUCCUGCUUUGCUGCAUAGGACUCCCGGUGCCCAGAGUUCAUCUGCAAGAGAGGUAAAGUCCCUUUCUGGGAGAGAAGUGAAAGAGAGACCCUGGGCAGUGGGAAUGCAGAGAGCCAGGAGGAUGGGACUGGGAGGGCUGGGUCAGAGCCCAAAGGGCCAAGGCUCCCCGAUGCCUGGGCUGGCUUCAAGGGAAGCUCAAACAGAGCAUGUUAAGGUUUGGGGUCCAAAUAGAAAGCCCAUCUGGGUAGGUCAGCACAGCCAGGCCUGGGAAGCACACAGGGUGUGCGCGGUGGGACUCCAGAGGGUUGGUGCAGCCCAGCCAGCGCCAGGGCAGCCUCAGGAGCAGGCUGUUUGCUGAGAGUUUGCUGCCAGACUGCUGGAGGAAAAGCCUGUGUGAGAGCAACCCACACUUGAAGUACGUCCCAGUCCCAAUCUCUUGCCAUCAGGGUCUGACUGGGAAAAGAUGCAUCCCCAGAACAGAUGUUUUCUGGAUGAUCCCCCUCCGGUCUGCAGGACUGACAGAAGCCAGAGGCAGAAGUGAGGCCAGGGGAUAGACAGGGAGCUGUGGUUGGGGCAUUUCUGGAUCCAUCCUGGUCCCCGCAUCCUGUGCAGGGCAAGAGGAGAAGCAAGAAUGACCCUAAGGCUGCUCUGAGUAGGGGACUGUCGAGGCAUCAGGGCUGGGCAGACCUCGGGGCUGGGGCAGGGUCUCAGUCCCUGCCUCCCAUCACACGGUGCAGUCUGUGCUUUCUGCUUUCCCACAGGCGGCCCUGGAGCCUGGAUGCUGUCAGGAGGCACCGUGAGUGAGUGCAGGGAGAGCAAGAGCCCAGGCCCCCGGCUGGAGUGAGGCCUUUCCUGGGGAGACGGUGGAUGCUGUGCUGGAGCCCGUGGCAGCCGUGGGCCUUCCCUGCGCAGCCUGAAGUGAAGCUGAAGGAGCAGGACCCAGGAGAUCUCCAGGCAGGAGCUGAGGGGGAGAGCAAAUCCCUUUUGUGGUCCAGACUGGGACCAGGGUGAGGAGGGUUUCCCCAAGGUGGUCAGCACCUUGGCCAAUAAAGCAGGAGGAGCCGGUCCAACGCCAGGAGAUCCAGGGGCAGGAGGUGAUGCAGGCCAUGCGGCCCCCGCCUGAGACCAAGAUUCCCUUAGAGACCCCACAGCUGGGGUACGACCUCCCCACCCCAGAGACCUGGCGCCAGCGUUUCCGGGGCUUCUGCUACAUGGAAACCAUGGGGCUGCAGGAGGUUUGCAGCCGCCUGUGGGAGUUUGCCCUGCGCUGGCUGGAGCCCCAGCGCCGCAGCAAGGAGCAGAUGCUGGAGCUGGUGGUGCUGGAGCAGUUCCUGGCCAUCCUGCCCCGGGAGAUGCAGAGCUGGCAGUGGGGGCAUGGUGUGGAGACCUGUGCUGAGGCCAUGACCCUGGCCGAGGGGUUUAAGCUGGGGCAGGAGGAGGAGGAGAAGCUGUAGGUCAUAGUGAGUGUAAAAGUCGAGGAGGUGUCCUCAGACAAAACACAUCCCACUGGGGCAUCACAGGAACCUGGUGAUUCCUGGCCAGUGCAGCCAAAGGCCGAAUGUGUGGACAGGCCUUUGGAGGACUCAGGAGAGAGGGAAGCACCGGGGCACCUGGACAAGCCACUUCAGGUCUCCAAAGAGGAUCCUCAGCCUCACCAGGACUCAGGAGGUGCCUGGCUGCUGAGCAGAGGUGAGGAGAAACCUCCUGUGGAAGAGCCUGCAGACCUGGAGCCAGCGCAGACUUCCCCAGGGAGUUUGGGCGAGAUGGACUCCCUGAGACCUGAGAAGGAGCCACGGCAUAAGUCAGGGAAAGCCCCGAAAGCAGAAGGAGAAUGUAGCGGUGAACAAGCAACGUCAUAUCCACCCAGGGAGGAAGACACACCGCUGCAACAAGUGCAGGAAGAACUUCAGCUGCGUGCAAGACCUGUCCCAGCACCAGUGUGUGCAGAGUGGGGAGCAGCCAUACCUUUGCACCAGGUGUGGGAAGAGCUUCAAGCAGCCCUCCAUGCUGGCCAGGCACUUGUUCAUGCACACACGGGAGAAGCCACAUCAAUGCUCAGAGUGUGGGAAGCGCUUCAACCUGUCCUCCAUCCUGGCCAAACACCAGCUUAUCCACAAGAGGGAGAAGCCACAUCGGUGCUCAGAGUGCGGGGACACUUUCACUCACCCCUCCAGCCUGACUCAGCACAAGCGUAUUCACACAGGGGAGAAGCCACAUCGGUGCCUGGAGUGUGGGAAGAGCUUCGCCCGUUCCUCUAGCUUAGCCCGGCACGGGCUCACCCACACAGGGGAGAAGCCACAUCAGUGCUUGGAGUGUGGGAAGAGCUUCACCCUGUCCUCCAGCCUGACCACACACCAGCUCAUACACACAGGGGAGAAGCCACAUCAGUGCUCAGAGUGUGGAAAGAGGUUCACCCAGUUCUUCAGCCUGGCCCGGCACCAGUUUAUACACGCAAGGAAGGAGCCACAUCAGUGAUCAGAAGGUGGGAAGAGCUUUAUGCAAUUCUCCCACCUCGUCCAGCACCAGCUCAUCCACACAGAAGAGAGGCCACAUCUAUGCUCCGGAUGUGUGAGGAGAUGAUCUUUGCAUCAGCCUCGGAGCCUGUGCCAUCCGCAUCCUUCUCUAAAAGCCAGUUCCUUCACAAUAGGUGCCCUCCCCAAGACAACUGGCUCCAAGUGAAACCCAGGGACUCUCCUUGGCCAACCCCAGUUUUGCCCUCCCUCCUGGUCCCAGGAUUCUGGUAUGUGAGGCUCUUGAUUUGCAGGAAGGAGGGCAUUUAUUGCCGGCGAAUCAUUCCCUGACCUCACCUUUCCUCCCCAUCACAUCGCCCCUCUCCCAAGUCUGCACAUGCCCAUCAGGGUCUCCAAGAAGCUGCUGCUGGCAGCCCAUGAGCCCAGUUUGGCAAGUUUUGCUUCUCAGCCCCUCAUCACAACCACCAGGUGCCAGCUUUCCCGGCCCUCCUUCUCUGCAUCCCAUUCUCCAUAACAGAUUCCUUGGUAAUAAAGCCUCAUAACUUAACAUGA